rnacentral:rRNA from 1 species
CAAUAGCGUAUAUUAAAGUUGUUGCGGUUAAAAAGCUCGUAGUUGGAGUUCUGCCAGGUGCCGUCUGUCCGCCCCAGUGGUGAGUACGUGACGCGCAUUUGGCCCUUUCAAGGGGAGCGUAUCUGCACUUUACUGUGUGGUGCGGGAUCCUUGACUUUUACUUUGAGGAAAUAGGAGUGUUCCAAGCAGGCUCUCGUCGUGCACAGCUCAGCAUGGAAUAAUAGCAUUGGACCUCGAUUCUAAGCUGUUGGUUGCCAGAAGCGAGGUAAUGAUGAAGAGGGAUAGUUGGGGGCAUUCGUAUUUAACUGUCAGAGGUGAAAUUCUUGGAUUUGCUAAAGACGGACUACUGCGAAAGCAUCUGCCAUGGAUGUUUUCAUUGA